AUUGAACGCUGGCGGCAGGCCUAACACAUGCAAGUCGAACGGUAACAGGAAACAGCUUGCUGUUUCGCUGACGAGUGGCGGACGGGUGAGUAAUGUCUGGGAAACUGCCUGAUGGAGGGGGAUAACUACUGGAAACGGUAGCUAAUACCGCAUAACGUCGCAAGACCAAAGAGGGGGACCUUCGGGCCUCUUGCCAUCGGAUGUGCCCAGAUGGGAUUCGCUAGUAGGUGGGGUAACGGCUCACCUAGGCGACGAUCCCUAGCUGGUCUGAGAGGAUGACCAGCCAAACUGGAACUGAGACACGGUCCAAACUCCUACGGGAGGCAGCAGUGGGGAAUAUUGCACAAUGGGCGCAAGCCUGAUGCAGCCAUGCCGCGUGUAUGAAGAAGGCCUUCGGGUUGUAAAGUACUUUCAGCGGGGAGGAAGGGAGUAAAGUUAAUACCUUUACUCAUUGACGUUACCCACAGAAGAAGCACCGGCUAAGUCCGUG
rnacentral:rRNA from 1 species